rnacentral:rRNA from 1 species
UACGUAGGGUGCAAGCGUUAUUCGGAAUUAUUGGGCGUAAAGAGCUCGUAGGCGGUUUGUCGCGUCUGCUGUGAAAACUGGAGGCUCAACCUCCAGCCUGCAGUGGGUACGGGCAGACUAGAGUGCGGUAGGGGAGAUUGGAAUUCCUGGUGUAGCGGUGAAAUGCGCAGAUAUCAGGAAGAACACCCGUGGCGAAGGCGGCUCUCUGGAACGCAACUGACGCUGAGACGCGAAAGCGUGGGGAGCAAACAGG